rnacentral:rRNA from 1 species
GGUGGUGCAUGGUUGUCGUCAGCUCGUGUCGUGAGAUGUUGGGUUAAGUCCCGCAACGAGCGCAACCCUUAUUAUCAGUUGCCAGCAUUAAGUUGGGCACUCUGGUGAGACUGCCGGUGACAAACCGGAGGAAGGUGGGGAUGACGUCAAAUCAUCAUGCCCCUUAUGACCUGGGCUACACACGUGCUACAAUGGAUGGUACAACGAGUUGCGAACUCGCGAGAGUAAGCUAAUCUCUUAAAGCCAUUCUCAGUUCGGAUUGUAGGCUGCAACUCGCCUACAUGAAGUCGGAAUCGCUAGUAAUCGCGGAUCAGCAUGCCGCGGUGAAUACGUUCCCGGGCCUUGUACAC